GGAGGGGUGUCCGAGCGGCCGAAGGAGGCGGUCUUGAAAACCGCAGAGGUCCUGGCGGCCUCCGUGGGUUCGAAUCCCACCCCCUCCGCCA
rnacentral:tRNA from 1 species